rnacentral:lncRNA from 1 species
GGUGAUUUGCAUGGACCCCAGGAGGCUUACUAAAUGUGCACGUCCAAGUAAACAGCACAGGAAACGAGCCAUGAGGAUAUAAACCUGGUAAUUCUCCAUCAUAAGAAAGACAUCAUGCUGUCCACCUCAUGAAGGAAGAUGAGAUUAAGGCACACACACGGGGAGGGGCAGAAUUGUAGGUAGUGUCUGAGCAGUGGAGGCUGAACGCAUGAGGUAUACUGCAGAGACAAUCAUAAGAUGUGGUGGAAUCCCUACAGCACUAAAAGUGUGAGAAACAAAGUAAGGGACAAUGUAGAGGACCCAGGACACGAAUUGGGGGCAUUUUACCUGGUCUGCACAUUUGGAACCUUGGGAAUUUGAGUAAGUAUUCAUUGUGAUUCUAUUUUAUUCCUUUUCUUCAUCAGCCAAAAGGUGGGGGUGGGGUG